rnacentral:rRNA from 1 species
UACAGGGGUCUCAAGCGUUGUUCGGAUUUAUUGGGCGUAAAGGGUGCGUAGGCGGCUCGGCAAGUCGGGUGUGAAAUCUCGGAGCUUAACUCCGAAACUGCAUUCGAUACUGCCGUGCUUGAGGACUGGAGAGGAGACUGGAAUUUACGGUGUAGCGGUGAAAUGCGUAGAUAUCCGGAGGAACACCGGUGGCGAAGGCGGCUUCCUGGACCGACACUGACGCUGAGGCGCGAAAGCGAGGGGAGCAAACGGG